GGAUGAACGCUGGCGGCGUGCUUAACACAUGCAAGUCGAACGAUGAAGCCCAGCUUGCUGGGUGGAUUAGUGGCGAACGGGUGAGUAACACGUGAGUAACCUGCCCUUAACUCUGGGAUAAGCCUGGGAAACUGGGUCUAAUACCGGAUAGGAGCGUCCACCGCAUGGUGGGUGUUGGAAAGAUUUAUCGGUUUUGGAUGGACUCGCGGCCUAUCAGCUUGUUGGUGAGGUAAUGGCUCACCAAGGCGACGACGGGUAGCCGGCCUGAGAGGGUGACCGGCCACACUGGGACUGAGACACGGCCCAGACUCCUACGGGAGGCAGCAGUGGGGAAUAUUGCACAAUGGGCGCAAGCCUGAUGCAGCGACGCCGCGUGAGGGAUGACGGCCUUCGGGUUGUAAACCUCUUUCAGUAGGGAAGAAGCGAAAGUGACGGUACCUGCAGAAGAAGCACCGGCUAACUACGUGCC
rnacentral:rRNA from 1 species